UACGAGAGGCGCAAACGUAUUCGGAUUUGACUGGGCGUAAAGGGCUCGUAGGUGGCCAACUAAGUCAGACGUGAAAUCCCUCGGCGUUAACCCGGGGAACUGCGUCUGAUACUGGAUGGCUUGAGUUUGGGAGAGGGACGCGGAAUUCCCGGUGUAGCAGUGAAAUGCGUAGAGAUCGGGAGAAACAUCUGUGGCGAAGGCGGCCAUCUGGACCAGCACUGACACUGAGGCACGAAAGCGUGGGGAGCAAACAGGAU
rnacentral:rRNA from 1 species